rnacentral:lncRNA from 1 species
UAACAAUCGGCUCUCGCAAACUUGAUUUAGAGUAGUUAAAAUUUUUAAUAUUCAAAUCUAAUAAGUUACAGAUAUUAUUUAACUAAUAAUUGAAAUUAAUGGCACAAAAUUGACAAUUUUAAUAAUCAAUAUGAAUCAUUAAUUUGCAUGCUUAACAGUAUAAAAAUUACACUCUUUAAAUGAAAGUUUUACCAUUUGAAAAAUAGUUAUACUAUUUCUCCCCCAACGAGCACCCUUUGAGAUGAAAAUUAUAAUUUUCAAAUGAAAAUUACACUAUUUGGGAGCUAAUUACACUAUUUUCCUUCCAAAUAGUAUAAUUUACGUUUAAAGAAUGUAAUUUUCAUCUUAAAGAGUACAAUUUAUAUCUCAAAAAAUACAAAUUAUAACUAUAAUAGUGCAACAUUUUUCUAAGGGAUAAUUGCCUCUAUACCCCUCAAAACUUCGAAAAUAUCUCAUUUACCCCUACUUUUUUUUUCUUACCAAUAUACCCCUCAUAUAUACCCCCGUUAUUCCAAAAUAUCCCUGCAGUUACCACCUGUUACGUUAACUUGAAUUAAACGUGAGUUAAAUAUCUAUCACAGUUAAAAAAAAAAUAAAAUACUACUUCUGUCCUUAACUUAGGGGCAAAUAAGAAAUAUUGGUGAUGAUAGAAGGGUAUAUUUGAAAAGACCAAAAAGUAAAAUAUUUUUUGUGCCCCUAACUUAAUGGCAAAUAAGAAAAGUCGGUGAUGGUAGAAGAGUAUAUUUGAAAGGGCAAAAUGGUAAUUUCAUAGAGAUAACAGAGUUCAUUAACAGAUUUUAACUUUAGGGGUAUAUUAGAAAUAGGUUGGAACGUAAAAAGGGUAUUUUCCAUAUUAGCCUUUAAGAGGGGUAAAUCAGAAUGUCAGAAACUUUUCAGGGGUAUAUAAGCAAUUGCCCUUUUUUCUAAAAGAGCGUAACUUUAUUUUAAUAGUGCAACUUUAUCUUCUUCUUCCUUCUUCUCUAGUUCUUCUUCCUUACUCUCUAGGUUUUUAUUUUUAGUUAGUUUUUUUCAUUUUAAGCAAACAAAAAUACUUGACCAGAAAUGCUCCCGUGCACUCCCCGCCUUCGAUACUGCCGAGGCCACGCUCGUUGCUACUCUCUAGGACGCCGUGCUCACCGCCGCCCCGCCCUCUUUUCUGAUGUCGUCAUGCUCUCCUCUGUUUCCACCUCGCUCGUCGUUGGCCGUGGAUGGGCGCGGUGGGUCGUGUGUCCCCUCCCUCGCCAGCGAAUAUUUUGGCGCCGAGAAACGUUUCCUUUUCAUUGUCGUCAGCGGCGAUAAGGACAGCGAGUUCGUAGAAAUAGAUUUGGUGGGUGAAAAAUCUGCUGCAAUGGAGGUGGAGGUGAGUCGCAAAGGAUCACGGAGGUGGUGGAGGUUUGGCUAGAAAAAAAAAAAAAAAAAAAAAAAAAAAAGAUGAUCAUGGCGUAGCCUUGGUAGGGUUGGAGGCGAGGAGAGCGGGGGGUGAGCGAGCGCGGUCGAGGGCGCAUGGGGUGGAGGUGAGGAGGGGCGUCCCAAAGGGCGGCGGCGAGCACAGCCUUGGUGGGGUCGGAAGCGAGGAGGGCAUGUGGUGCGCGGACAAGGGCGAGGGCGAGGGCGAGGGCUCUCCGCCUCUCUCUUCCGAGAGGAAAAAAAAAUGAAAGAAAAAAAAAAGAAGAGAGAAAGGAAUAAGUGUAUUUUAGUCCAUUUUUGAAAAAUUCGAUCCGAAUUUGCAAAAUUGAAAAAGACGACUCAAUUUUACAAAAGCUCAAAACUUGUGAAUUUUUUAUGCAAAUUGGCCAUAUUUAAUACUAAACUACCACCUAACUUACAAAGCCAAACAGAAAGCCAACAUAAAAUAUGAAACAGUUCAACCAAUGAAAAACUAUACAAAUCAUGUUAAGGAUCUAAGUUUUCGUCUACACUAUACUUUAAUAUUAUUGUUAUUUAUUAUAUUUUUCUUAGGGUUAUUUGCAUACACGUCCCUGCAAACAUAGUGAAUUGCGAAAAUAUUCCUGCAAAACAGAAAUUCCAUAAGUUGUCCUUACAAAAGUCAUAAGUUAUGCAGAUAUGUAUCUCUGGUUAACAUCCGUUAGUGAACUAUUUAUUUUUUAAUAGUUUUAUUGUGAAAUGACCUUUUUGCCCUCACAAAUAUAUCCCUCCAAAAAUAUUCCUCUUCCCCUUCUCUUUUCCUUCCUCUUUGGGCUGCCGGAGCGGACGACGGUGGCGGCGCGAGGUCGGGUUCGCCAAUGACGAAGAAGAGGGAAGUGAAAGAAAGAGAGGAAGAAGAAGAGGGAAGAAGAAGAAGGAGAGGAAGAGGGAAGAGAAAGAUGAAGAGUGGGAGGGUUCGCCGCCGCGCGCCGUCGCCGCAUCUCCUCCCUCGGCGGCGACGAAGAAGAGGGAAUAGAUAGAGGAAGAGGAAGAAGAAGGGCGAAGAGGAAGAGGGAGAGGAAAAGGAAGAGGGAAAGGGCUCGCGGCCGCCGCCGCAUCUUCUCCCUUGCCGGCGACGAAGAAGAGGGAAAAAGAAGAGGGAGAGGAAGAAAAAGGGGAAGAGGAAGAGGGAGAGGAAAAGAGAAGAGAGAAGAGGAAGAGGGAGAGGGUUCGCUGCCGUCGCCGCCGCCGCCGCCACCGCUGUAUCUCCUCCCUCGCCAGCGACGAAGAAGAUGGAAGAGAAAGAGGAGGAAGAAGAAGAAGGGUAAAACUGUCAAUUCAUAAUUUAAUUAACUAUGGUUAAGUAUUUUAACCGUGGUUAAUAUAAUUUUUCUAACAAACCUUAAUGGUAGGAACAUAUCUGCAUAACUUAGGUCUUUUGCAGGGACAAUUUAUGCAAUUUCCGUUUUGCAGAGAUAUUUUCGCAAUUCACUAUGUUUGUAGGGACGUAUAUGCAAAUAACCUUUUUUUUUUAAUAGCGCCAUUGUAUUAUUAUAUUUUAUUAAUUUCUACAUUAUAUUUUAAAAUUAUUUUCGUUUUUGUAUCCUAUAAUAUUUUAGUUUGGAUUUUUUUUCGUUGAUUCUGUUUUAAUUUAGCUUGUAACCUAAAUCAAAUAAAUUAAAACAUGCAUAUCCCUAGUUCUAAAUAACUGCUGACACCAAAUAGAUUUCCCUAGUGACAACAAGAUUGCGAGCCCAACUCUUAAAGUACACGUGUCCUCGCUUAUGAAGAUCACAUUUAUUGGUGAGUAGCUCCCAGCCCCAAAUUUAUUUCAUGACAAAAACGUUUCUUGAACUUUGGAUUAAUUAAUUCGAUAAUAUCGCAUAAAGCUUCAUUUAGUGACAUAUUAUAAGCACCGACAUUGACCUACGAAAAAACGUUACCACUGUAAAAGGACUAAAACGACCUGUGAAGUUGUUUAAUUAUAUAUGUUAAUUUUAAAGGGCAAAAUUAUCACUCUGCAACAUUAAUAGAAACAGCGUGAUAUUAAAAAAAAAAAGAAAAUCAUAUAUCCACAUGGACACCCACCUUAGCAAGUUAAUUAUCUCCAGUCAUUAAAAUUUAAAAGUUAAACAGAUAAUAUCUUUUUUUACAUUGAGUUUUUCCUUUUUUUUUUCGAACUCUAUCCUACAUGUAUUUUAUCUUGAACUUUCUUAAUUUUACAAUUGUAUUUUAAUUAAGUUUUUAUCACCACAAGUCUAUUAAAUCAUAUAUAGAAAUUGCAACGUGGCCUAGUUUGAUGUUGCUACAUUAAAUGUUGUCUAAUUGCCUCUAAUAUAAGUAAUUUCUGGUAAAUUUAAAAACUUGUUGGUUAUAUAAAUUCACCUAAUAUGAUUAGUAUAUAUGUUAAGAGAGUUGGACUGGGCUACUAUCGAUAGUGAAUGAUAAAUGAUUUGGUUUGGUAUCGAUUUAUUUUCGAUGAUAGAAUUUGCAAAUCAAUGACCGGCAUCAUUGAAUAUGACCCAGACUAUGUAAACUAUUUAGAAAUCAAAUUUCAUACUUUUUUCAAUAUUACUAACCGAAUGAUCAAAAUGUCACAAAAUUUAUAAUUUUUCUUUUUUUUGAGAGAGAUAGGGAGCAUACUACCUGCUUCGUUUAUUUUAUUUAGAAAUAAACUUAGCUGGAAAUGUGAAUCAACUAGGAUUCGAACUUAGGUCUCGGGUACCAACCACAAAGCCCUUUGCUACUUGCUCUAGGGACGGUCGGUACAAAAUUUGUAAUUUGAAUGGCCAAUAAAGUGUGUUUGCUUGUUUAACGGUGUAGAAGAGUUCAAAUCAGCUGAAUUUCUAUCGAAUUUUUUUUAAAACUAUUUAAAGCAAGAUUUAGACUUUAGAUCUUAAAUAAAAAAAAUUAUAUCAACAUUUUUUAAAGAAUAUUUAUUUUCAGCCGUUCAUUUUAUGUUUAUUUCAUAGACAAGAGAACAAUAUCGAAAAAGUAUAAAUUUAAUUUUCAGAUAGUUUAAAUUAUUCUAGAUCGUGGUCAACGGAGUCGAUCGGCGAUUUGAGAGCUCUAUCGUCGAAAAUAAAUCAGUAGUAAAUUGAUAUGCUUACUACCGAUAAUAUUUUAGUAGAACUCAUAUUAAGAAUUAAACUAAAAGACAACCCCUAACAUAAGUGGCAAAAGAUUUGGUGGCUGGUACCCGAGAUUCCAAAUUUGAAGUCUAAUUGCUUCACAUUUCCAGCUAAGUUUAUUUCUAAAAAAAUAAACGAAACGGAUAUCAUGCCAUCUUUUUCUAAAAAAAAAGAAUUAACCAUAAAAAGUUAAAGAUUGAAAAUUAAUAUUAAAAUAAAUGGCGCAAUGUACCCUUUACUUAUUAAGGGGCUCUUCGAUUGCAUGUAAUUAAGUACUUCUACAUUAUAAAUCUCGAAUUUAAACAAAAAAAAAAAAAACUUUGCUAUCUAAUUAUUCGUUAAAUAACAAAAAAAAAUGUAAAUUAUUUAAAAUUAUUGUACUCAAUAAUUGUUAUAAGAUAUAUACGGCGUUAGGAACUGUUUCUAUCAAAUUUUUGUUGUAAGCAAUUACGUGCAACAAAACAAUUCAAAGAUUAAUGAGACGGCUCCAAUUACGGAACUGUUGGCAACGCGGGGACCAUCCAUUUAUUUUUCUAUUUCUCCGCACCCGCCUUUGUAUGCGCCCUACGGCACCUGGGCACCGCCGCCGAUCAAUCAGGUCCGUCCAUCCGAAACGGACGACGGUUGAUGCCGAAGUCGAGGCUUUACAUGCUCCCAUCCGUCUCGAUCCGCGCGAUUGCGUGGGGGCCCAUCGCGUCCGUCCCCCUCGGCGUGGGGCCCGCGACAGUUGGACGGUCGUGAUCGGCUCUGGCGCCGCUCGUUUGUCGCGUUCUUGUGUCCUGCGCCGCGUGGGACGCGCGUGGGUACGCAGAGGGGGAUGAGUCGUUUUGGUUAGAAAUAUCUAUGCAUUUCUAACGGUCUUUUGGGUGCGCGGAUACUUGCAUGGGAAGACGAGUUCGGGAUAGGGAUGCAAAUGGAUCCGGAUUGGUGGAGCUCCGCCCCGAUCCGUCCCGAAUGGGGUGGUAAGUGGGAAUAAAAAAUAUAAAAAAAUAUAACCCGUCUCGAAUCCGUCCCGAUCCGCCAAGUAAAUGGAGCGGGAGGUGGGAGACUCUUUUCUUCCUUCAAUCCGUCCCGAUCCGUCAAAAAUCCGGCUCCCGCCCCGAUCCGCCCCGAAUUGAGCGGUAAGUGGGAGCUAAAAAUAAAAUGAAAAGUAACCCGCCCCGAAUCCGCCCCGCCCCGAUAAGAAAUGGACCGGGAGGUGGGGGAACUCUCCCGCCCCCGGAUCCGCCCCGUUUGCAUCCCUAGUUCGGGACCUGUUGAUGUAGAAUUAUCUAAUAAUAAUAGGAUUAAUUUUACUGACCGUUCCUAAAGCAAGUGGUAAAGAAUUUGAUGAUUGGUAUUCGAGAUCUAAGUUCGAAUCCUAACUGAUUCAUAUUUUCAGUUAAGUUUAUUUUUAAAUGAAAUAAACGAAGCGGGUGGCGUACUAUCUAUUUCUCUCAAAAAUAAUAGGGUUAAUUUCAUUUGUAACCACACAGAUUUAUAGAAUAUCAUAAAUAUUCUUCAAAUUUUUAAAAUUUCUCUAAAUACAAAUUUCUUUCAUAAAUACCCUCACUGUUAUUUUUUUCUAACUUUUGUCAACUUAGCUUUUUUUUUUUAUUUUACUUCAAAAUAUGAAAUUAUCAAUUUACUCUUAAUUUGUUCACUAUUUAUUUAAAGAGUUAAUUUCAUCCGUAACCCUCUAAAAAAAUAUCAUAAAUAUCUCUAUAAAUUUUGUUAUAUUAUAAUUAUCCUUCUAAAUACAUAUUUUCUUUCAAAAAUACCCUCGCCGUUAUACUCCGUCUUUUCAAGUCAUAUUAACUUUAGUUAGAUGGCGACCUAACACGAGUUAAAAUUUGAAAUGUUUAUUUUGCCCAUGAGUAGAGGAAUUUUUGGAGGAUAUAUUAAUUAUAUAAUUUAUUAUUUAAUCUCUCAGUUUCGUUCAUUAUUUGUUAUUAACAUAUGUUUUAACAUUGUUUGCUGAUAUUCUUUAGUACUAUUUACCUUCUAACUUUUGUCAAUUAUUUAUUAUAGUUAGUUAUAUUUAAAUUUUUAGUUAACUUAGAUUGCUCUUUUAGCUAUUACUUAUUAUAUAUUUUUUCUUUUAACUUCUAGGAAGUAAUUGAAAUUAUUAAAUUUGUCGGAAUCAUCAAUGGAUUGAUAAAAUCUCUAAUUUAAUUGACAAAAAUCAAUCCAAUUUUAAGGAACCAAAUAUUAAGAAUACUUUGAUAAAAAAAAAAAUAAAUUAAGGGGCUAUUCGUAAUGUAUAAUAGUUAAGAAAAUCUCUAUAUAUUAACCUUAAAAAAUUUGUGAGAGUAUUGAUGAAAAUGCAUAGAGGGUAAAUUCGGUGUUUUGAAUCUGUUAUACUUAACAUGACGGAGUAAAAGCUAUGAGGGCAUUUUUAAAAUUUUUUAUAUUUUUUGAGGGCAAAUAUAAAAUUUCAAAAUUUUAAAGGGUAUUUAUGAUAUUAGAGCUAUUUGGAAGGGUACUGACGAAAUUUUUCAAUAAUAAUAAUAACAAUAAUUUAAGUAAAAAUUUACAAAAUUUGUCUAAAUUAUAAAUUAUUUUAAACCAGCUAUUCAAAUUUUAAACAUUUAAUUUUACUAUCUAAUUUUAAAUUUAUAUGUUUUGAAUCUGUCAAAUGCAUUUUGACUUCAAAAUAAAUUAAUUACUUAACUUAAUGAGUUCAUAAUUAUAAAAAUUACACGAAGCAUUCUAUCUAAAUCUGCUAAGAUAAACAACUCAAAUUUUAAAAUCAGAGUAUUGUUUACUAACACGUUAUCAAACAAAUUGAAUAGAAAAAUUAAAAUUUUGAAAUGUUGGAUAUCCAAAUCAUAAUGGUUCAUACUUUAGGUAAGUUUUGUACACUUUACCAAUAAUUUAUUCAUUAUGCAUUAUUUUUAUGUGUUUGAAAAAUAGGAGUUUAUAUUAUGCUUCUUUGAAAGCCUUGAUGUUACAUACCGUCCUGAUGCAAGUGGCAAAAGGUUUCGUGUUGGUACCCGAUGUCCCAAGCUUGAAUCCUAGUUGAUUCACAUUUUUAGCUAAGUUUAUUUCUAGAAAAAAAUAAACGAAGCGGGUAGCAUGCUACCUAUCUCUCUAAAAAGAAAGCCUUGACGUUUAUGAUUUUUUAGGAUAGUACCUUUUAGAUCAAUUUGCAUAAAAAAUUCAUUAGUUUUAAGCUUUUGCCAAAAGUAGGCUGUCUUUUCAGAUUUAUAGAUUCGUGCUAGAUUUUCAGAAAACUAACCAAAAUACCCUUAUUCUCUUUUCUCUCUCCUCUUUUUUUCUCUCGUUAUUUUUUUCUUUCUCGCCAAAAAGAGCUGCGGAAGCGGAGGCGGAGGCGGAGGCGACACGUGCCCUAGCCCUCAUCCGCGCACCCUCGCUCCCGCCCGCGCACCCUUCCUCCGCCUUCCUUAUCUCCGACCCCAUCGAUGCCACACUGCGACUUUCUUAUUUUUUAUCUCCGACUCUCCUCCACCGCCUCUCCGGUUCUUCACAACAGUAAAGAGGGCAAUGUCACGUUCUCUUUAUUUCAUUUUUUUCUCUCAUUUUUUUUUCUCUUCGACCUACCUCCACCGUCUCCAUGACCCUCCGCGAUAAUAACGAGAACAGCGCCGCAUCCUCUUCCUCGGCCUUCAUCACCGCCAACGUCGACGCCGGUGCGGGUGCCGAUGCUGGAGAAGGAGAACUCGAGCGAGUGCGGAUAAGAGUGGAGUUGAGGAAACAAAAUACAGAAAAUAAAAAUAAUAAAAUAUAAAAUAUAAAAAAAAUAUUUUUUUCUACAAAAAAAAUAAAGAAUCAGAGAGAGAAGAAGAAGAUGAUUAAAUUGCACUGUUUCAAGGGAACGUUGCGCUGUUUUAGAAAAACGUUGUGCUAUUUUAGAGAAAACUUACACUCUUUAAGAAGAAAGAAGAGGAAGAGGAGAAACAGUGUAAUUUUUUUUAAAAAAGUGCAACUUUCGUUUAAAGAGCGCAAUUUUCAUUCAAAGAGUGUAACUUUCAUCUAAAAAAAUGUAAUUUUUUUUUUAAAGAGUGUAAGUUUUCUCUGAAGCAGUGCAAUAUUCUCUUGAAUCAGUACAACGUUCUCUUAAAACUGUAUAACAUCAUCAUCUUCUUCUUUUCUCUCUAAUUCUUUAUUUUUUUUGUAGAAAAAAUAUUUUUUCUUUAUGUUUUAUUUUUUAUUCUUUUUAUUUUUUUAUUUUCUUCAUCUUUUUUUCUCGUUUCCGCUCUAUCCGCACUCACUCCGAGUUCUUUUUCUUCAACGCCGGCAUCGAUGCUAUCGCUGGUGAAGAUGGAUUAAGAGGAUCCGGCGUUGUCUUCGUUACCGUCGUAGAGAGUCACAGAGAUAGUGGCCAUCGAAGAGAAAAAAAGAAGAAUGAGAGAAAAAAAGAAGAGGAAGAGGACAUGACGUUGCCCUCUUUACUGUUGUAAAGAACUGAGGAGGCGGUGGAGGAGGAAGGUAGGAAAGAAAAAAAAAAAAAAAAAGUCGCGGAGUGGCCUUGGCGUGGUCGGAGGCGAGGAAGGCGGAGGGAGGAUGCGCGGGCGAGGGUGAGGGCGAGGGCGAUGGCGUGCAGAGUAAAGGCGAAGCGGCUGCCUCCGCCUCCGCCUCCACCGCCCUCUUCAAAGAGAGAAAAAAAAAAAGAGAGAGAAAAAAAAAGAGGAGAGAGAAAAGAAAUUAAGGGUAUUUUGGUCAGUUUUAUGAAAAUUCGGCCCGAAUAUAUAAAAUCCAAAAAUAUGACCUACUUUUGCAAAAACUCAAAACUAAUAAAUUUUUUAUACAAAAUUGGCCUAUCUUUUUUACCUAUGGAAUGUUUUAUUUUAUUCAAAAAAAUGUUAUAUAUUUCUUGAGUAAAUCAUACUCUUCACUUAUCAAACUCUAUAUACUUCUUGAGUAAAUAAAAAAAAUAUCAAAUAAAAUAUUUAUGCAUCAAAACAUGGCAAAACAUGACAUCUGAUUAUACUUUCCUCUUCCAAAUACAAAAGGUCAAUUCUGAAUGAAUCAAAAAGAGCUUAGUCCAAUAAAAUUUUCAUACAUGUGAGCUCUCCGCCAUUUAUAUAUAAACAGCUAAACUAUCAACCAAUCAUGCAUGAUAUUUUACAAAAUUGAAUCACUAACUAUAAUUUGAAGCUAAUAUUUUCAAACACCAUAACAUUUUGCUAAGAUAAUCAUUGGAAACGAGCACGUUAUGCAUGAAAAUGAUUGGAGAGAGACUAGUCAUUCGAUGAGGAGACCCACAUUUUCAGACCUAACAAGGAGGAAGCACAGUAACUAUCCCUCUCCUUCGUUUUGUCCUUUGCCUCUUUAUACUAAUGGCCCUCCAUUGAUGCAACAUACUGCGUAACUAACCUCUCCUUAUCCAAUAAAAAAUAUAUGGGAUAAUUAAUUACAUAUUGAUCGUAAAGUAAAUGAUGUUUAAGAAUUAUAAAAUUUAAUUUCUAAAAAUUUUAAAUGCUCUAGAUAACGUUUAACGAUAUGGAUCGUCGAUUCGGAACCUCUAUCAUCGAAAAUGACUUAAGAAUACGAAGACGAUUGUACUCAUAAAAGUAUAGUAGCUGGAUCUAUCUAUCUUUAUAUGUUUGAUCUCAAAAUUAACAUUCAUGUAAAUUCUAAAAACUUUUGAAUAUAUUGUUAGGGACCAAUCAAGCACCAUUAUCCCAUUAUCCUCCACGUUGCUAACAUUGAAUUAGUGAUUAAGAAUAUUGUAAAACGAAGGGAAUAGAUUAAACCGUUUUAAUUGAUUAGUUGCAAAAAAUGUUAAUGAAAUUAACUUAAUCUUCUUCUUUUUUUGAGAGAGAGAUAGGUAGCACGCUACCCCGCUUCGUUUAUUUCAUUUAGAAAUAAACUUAGCUAGAAAUGUGAAUCAACUAGGAUUCGAACUUGGGCCCCGAGUACCAACCAUCAAGCCCUUUGCCACUUGCUCUAGGAAUGGCCAAUGAAAUUAACUUAAUCUUAAUACUUGUAUUAAGCAUCAGGACUUAAUUAAUGGCGACCAUACUAGAUCAUAUAAAAAGAUUUGACUAGUUAAUUUGAAAUAUACUUUAAAGUUCAUGGACAUUUGGAUGAUAUUUUAAAGUUUGACCGACCAUCCCUAGAGCAAGUAGCAAAGGGCUUGAUGGUUGGUACUGAGGUCCCAAGUUCGAAUCCUAGUUGAUUCACAUUUCUAGCUAAGUUUAUUUCUAAAUGAAAUAAACGAAGCGGGUAGCGUGCUACCUAUCUCUCAAAAAAAAAAAAAGAAAAAAAAAGAAGAUAUUUUAAAGUUUGAGAGAUAAUUAUGCAAUUUCUUAAAUUCAGAGGAAUAUGUAAUUGUAACUUAAUUGCAAUCUGUGACACCCUAAUAAUCCCACAUCGGGUAGUUAUGACUAGAUGUGGGAAUAUAUAAGUUUGACUAGACUAAAUAUAAUAACUGAGUUUAAGAAUUUUGGGCUGGUGAUAUGGGCCCAACGAGUUAUUAUUGCUAGUGGGUUGGAUCGUUAUAUUUGGUAUCAGAGCCAAUUCACCAGCCGAAAGUGUGAGAUGAAUCUUGGCUGAGCCAGAGUCGGUGAAUGACAGGCUAAGUCAGAAUCAGAACGACAAGGCUAGCGAGACAAGUUUCACAGUUUUGUUAGUUAAUUCGCGAAUUAUUUAUUCAUGAAUUAUUGAAAAUAUUUAUUCAUGGAUUAUUGAAAAUUCGAAUUAAACUGUCCGUUUACGAAUUAUUCGCGAAUUAUUAAAAAUCUGAAUAAAAAAUUAAUAAUUUUUAUAUUUAAAUAUAGAUUAUCUUAUAUCUUAUAUUUUAUAUUUUAUACCGAAUCUAUUUUUUAAGCCGAAUUUUUCAACGAAUUUAAAAAUUAAAAAAUAAAUUUUAUGCGUAUUAUACCGAUACCGAAUUUUUGGCGAAUCAGAAUUGCAUACCAUUUCGUACUCAUGAUUAUGAUGGAUAAGGAAAUAUUUGUGGUCCAUACAAAGGGUGGUGAGCUAGAUCUUCCUCUUAGUCUAGUGGACAUUUAUUUAUUUUUUCUUUCUCAAGGUGAACAUGUUGAACUGUUGUAUAAUUGAUUAUUAUUUUAUAGGCGAAAUCAAAAGUAAGAGAUCUUAAGUUUAGGGUUAAAUAUAAAAUGAUAGUCUACUUCUUGAGCCUAUUGAUUGAGUGUUAAAAUAUAAAAAGUUUAAACUAUACUUCUACAUUAGCAAUAAUAAUAUUCUAAUUUAUGGCAUUCUAGUCCCACGAUCAAUUUAAUUAAUUAAAUAUUGACAUAUCGAUAAUGUAAAAGUGAUAUGUGAGUGUUGUAAUUGAUAAUAUGUAAUAGUAAUUAAGAUGGUACAUUAUUUUUAUGUCAGCAGUAUAUUAAUAUUUAGCCAACUAAAUUAUAUUAUGGAAGUUUGUUUUUGUAAUAUAUAAUUUCGGGAGUUGAAGCAAAAUGUUACCCAUACUUUUGAGGACAAAAAUGUAGUUUAGCUAAUAUAAAAUAGGAAAAGUCUACCUGUACCUAUAAAAUAUGGGGAUGAUUGCAAAUAUACCUCUCAAUACUUUUGAAAUAUCUUAUGAAAAAUGCUUCUUGUAGACCCCAAAAAGGGGUGUAGAUCUUACACCCGCUAUAUUAGGGUUGAUAAAAACCGAAUUGAUUUUUAGUAAAAUUUAAAAAAAACUGAUGUAAUAAAAAUUACCUUAGAAUGAAGUGGGUGUAAAAUGUACACCUCACUUUAGGCUGUAUAUGUAGUAUUGCUCAUAUCUUAUUUACCUAUACUUUUUAUGGUCCUUUAUUCAAAAAUAUCCUUACUGUUAGUACCCGUUAAGUUAUCUUGUAUUAAAUCCGAGUUAUAUUUCUACCAAAGUUUUUUUUUUAAAAAAAAAUCAAAAUAUCUCUUUUGCCCCAUGACUUAAGGACAAAUAAAAAAAGUUGGUGACGAUGUAAGAAUAUAUUUGAAAGAGAACAAGUCAAAAUAUUUUUUUUGUCCCUAACUUAAGAACAAAAAAGAAAAGCUAGUAACGGUGGAAGAUUACAUUUGAAAGGAUAAAAUAAUAAUGUUACAGGGAUAACGGUUGUUCCUAAUAGUUCAAGUAAUAAAAUCUAUCUACAGGCGGGGUAUAUAUUUAAAAGAAUUUAGAAUAUUAAAAAAAUAUUUUUAAUAUUAGCUUUCUGGGCUUGCUAAAUAAGAAAGUUGAAAAUUUUUCAGGAUUAUGUAAGCACUGGCCCAUAAAAUAUUAAUAAGUUUAGAACCGACUCACCGGAAGAAGUAUUAAAUAUAAAAAUAUUUUAGAGGCAAUUUCUAACGUGCCCCUCAAAAGUUACAAAAUAUUAUAGGGGCAAUCAAGGGUAGAAGGAAGGAUAAAUAUGAAAUUAAUCCAAUAUUAUAAGUGUAAUAUUGUUCUCUAACAGUUUAACUGUUUAAGUAUUUGAAAAUAAUCAUUUAUAGGGAUUAGGGGUUGUUUAAUUCCUAUGAAAAGUGUGAAAAAGAAAGUGUUCUAGGAUAAAAGUUUUUCAUGAUUUUCUCUUAAAAUUUGAAAAAGAAAAAACAAACUUUUCAAAAUAGCUAGUUUUUUUUUUUUUUUUUUUUUUUUUUUUUUUUUUUUUUUUUUUUCCGAAGAUCGAAAUACCUCUGUAUUUUUUUUACGUAAUUUAUUCUUACUCUCUUGGAUAUAAAUUAUGACCACUAUUAAUAAAAUCUUAUAACAAGUUACAAUAUUUAGGUAAAAAUGUAUGAACUUAUCUGUGCUGCAGACUACUUUGCUUCGAUUAUCUCAUCUCUCAAAAAUUUAAUUUUAGUAUACUGCCCUUCAAUUUAUUUAAUUUAGUUCAUUUGAUGAUAAUUUUGGGAAAAAAUUUAAGUUAAUUACGUAAUUUAAUAGAUUUAUAGUUAUAUGAAUUGAAUUAAAUAUAUUAAUUAUAUCGGUAAAAAUAAACAUCACAAUUAAAUUUAAAAAUUUAAAAUUUAUUAACUAAUUCAAAUUAAAUUAAUUAUUUAAAUUAAUAUUUUAUAGAUCAGAUAGUCCGAUCAAAAUAGACAAUGAGUGAAAUAAAUUUUUUAUCUAUUGUCCUAUUAUUUAGUUAGUUUACGACACGAAUGACGUUGAAGGGCUUAAAUGAUCAAUAAUUAACCCUAUUACAUACCAAGAGUUUGUUCGGAAAGACAUGUUAAAACAUUCGCACAUUGCCAGUGGAGACAAACAUUUGUGACAACCAUGCACGGAAGUUAGGAACCAAAACCCAAACUCUCUUUAUGUAAUGUAGGGUGGGUCACGGUCUUUAAUAGUCGGCUUAAGUGGGUGUUUGGCUGAACUUUUGAAAAAUAAUUUUGGAAUUCAAAAGUGAUUCUCGGCUCAAUACAACAUUCGAUAAUCUUAUUUUCCACUGAUCGUCCGUUGCGCAAGUGGCAAAGUACUUGUGGUUGGUAUCCCAGGUAACAAGGUCGAAUCCUAAUUGAUUUAUAUUUUUCAUCUGAUUUUGAUGUUUAAAAUUAGUUUUCGAAUUUUCGAGCUUCAAAAUCAGAAGCAGCUAAAAUCUACUUAUUGAAAUCCGAUACUGAUUUUAAACCUAAAUUUAAAAUUUAUUUUAAUUUUAGAUUGAAACUUUACAUUAAAUUCGAUUGUUUAUUUUUAAUUGUUAAUUAUAUAUUUGAAUUUCUAAAUUUUAAAUUUUAACUUUUAGAUUUCAAAUUUAAAAAUUUAAAAUUUUAAAUUAGAUGUUAAAUUUUUAAUUUUUAAUUUCAAAUCUCAAAUUUAAAUUUUCAAAAUUCAAAAUUAUUAAAUUUCAAAUUUUAAAUUUAAGAUAAUAUUUAAAAUUUAAAAUUUAAAAUAAAUUUAAAAUUAUAAGUAAAUUAUAAAUUUCAAAUAUUAAAAUUUAAAUUAUAAAUUUUUGAAUUUUUAAAUUUCAAUUUAAAAUUUAAAAUUUAAAAUAUAAAUAUUCAAAUUUAAAAUUAAGAUUUCAAAUUUCAAAUUUAAAAUUAAACUUUUGAUUUAAAAAUUCAAUUUUUAAUUUUUAAUUUUUAUAUUUCAAAUUUAUAUUUUAAAUUAAAAUAUCAAAUUUCAAAUUUUUGUUCAAAUUUAGAUUGUAAUUUUAAAUUCAAAUUUUAAACUAUUUUAAAAUAAAAUUUAGUAAAAAUAUUUUUAUUUGCAAAAAUCAAAAUAUUUUUUCAAACAACUUUACAAAUUACUUUAAAAUAUCACUUUCCAUCUAAACUUAACCAAACGCUUCUGUCACGACCCGGAUUAUUCGUUUCCCCGAGCACGCUAACAGACCCGCCCCGCCGUAUACAUAGAAAUUUUUUCUAUAUACGAAGCGAUAGCUGUACCUAUAACUGUAAUCAUACAACACUACAACCAGUAGUAUAGAGCUGCUAAAAAAGAAAAUAUAUAUAAAUAACAGCGGUUCAACAUACAUACGAAAUAUCCUGAUACAGAAAUGAUCGCUCUAGCGAGUUACUAACAUCAGUAUGUACAAGAACCAAAACUAACACUACUUGCAGGAAGUACUCCUCUAGCUCUGCAACUUGUCAGGAAGGGCUCUAACUCGCAACACUCUUUCCAUGAUCAGUAACAACAGUAGCAGCAGCGGCAAACGAAAGCUCUACAAAAGAUCCACAACUGGAUGUGAGAACUACUGCAAAAAGUAGUAGUUCUCAGUGGGUACCGCUACCGACCUCAACGGCUCACCCACUAAGUCUACAGAAGGUAUGCUUAAUGAUAGUAAGGAACUGGAAACAAUCUACAGCUAUAUGCCACUAUACUAUCAUAAUCCAACACUAACUAUCUGUAGAACAAUGUAAUCUCUGACCCAAUCUCACUAGGGACUGUGAAUACACCCGUCCCGCCUGUCGAAGCUACACUAACAACCACCACGCUGGCUAGUCAAUGGAGACCAAGUCCAACCAGGACACAACGACACCAACGCAACAGCACUAAGCCCGACUUCGGAGUGGCACUCGUGGACGCUACCCAACCAAGUAUGCAAGCGUAUUUCUGCCGAGCUCAAUCAGGCUCUCACGGGCUAUAGUCAAAGUAACCAGGGUCUAACAACCAACUCACAUGCCCUUGGUACAAUUUGAUGCAAAAACAGCAAUUUGGGUCCACCGUCAACCUCAACGGCACCCGACAGUCCGAAACAGCCUAAACACUGCUUUAAAAAUAAGCUCGACAUCUCAGCACGAGUGUAACUAUAUUCUACACUAUUCUGGGUAUCCACCGCCCACAAACUGCGGCGAUACAAACAAACUACGACUUCUAGAGCUAAAUCUGAUAGUUUUAACAAAUGACGGUGUAGAAUCGCUAGUUUUCUCCUAAGUCAAUUCCAAGUCCAACAUAUAUAUUUAAACUAACAUUUUAAGCUCCAAAAUUCAGAUUUCAAUAAGCAUGCAAACCCAUUAAUUUGAGCUAAUUAACAUGAUAUACAACUACCAACAUACAUGCUGACAACAACUAAACUUAGGAGGAAAUCCAAAAAUUCCGGUAGCUAAUCAUCAACCCACCUAUAGCGCUUAAUUCACGACAGCGAGAAGUCACCGGAAAACCCUGCCAAGCUCAGCCACAAACCAGCAACAAGCCUCUCUAAGGAUCUAACACAAGAACACCAAAAUUGCAUUAAUACCCUCAAAUUUCAGCACCUAAGCUUAAAUUCUCGAAUUCCAAUGUCAAACUCACCUUCGAAACUUCAAAUCAGGUGAAGAAACAUCCCAAAACCAGUGGAGGUGAUAGAGUAACACUCUCUGGUCCGAAAUCCAACUUCCUCCAAGAUUCGAUCCAAGAAAACCAAAGAAAUCUCAAUUUCAGCUCAAAAACACCAACAGCACAGAAAAUCACCAAAUUGACAAUACAAACCUCAAUCAAAUGCUGUCAAAAUGGCCUCUACGAAAUCUCCAGGAAGUUAGCUAACCAACAAACUAAGUUUCGUUGCAAUCCGACCUUCCUACGUCGCACAUGAGCCAAAACGCCAAAGGUCACUCCUGGAAUUCUGCUGAAACAGCAAUCCUCAAGGUGGAAUUGUGCAAAUUGGAGAAUUUAGAGGGAUUGGAAUGCAAUUGUAGGCUUCACUGUGAAGGAGAUGUGAAAAAGCUUCUCAGGGGUCGAAUACAAGCUAUUUAUAAUGAGGUGAAAGGGUGAAGUAAGCCUCAAGAAUAAGAGAUGCUAACCUACUGUUCCUGCAGAAAACAUGACUUUCGGGCGCCCAAAACCCAUUUCUGGGCGUCCGAAAUCUCCAGGCUAUACAAACACUCCUCUUCGGUUCCUCCGCCCGCGGUAUGAUGCACCCAAAACCUGGUUCGGCGGACCUCACCUAACACAAGACACGUGUCAGCACAGCCGAUAUUCCCAAAGUGAAUUUUCGGACCCACAUCUGGACGCCCGGAACACAGGAUCUGAAUUGGCUUCUAGUUCAGUUCAAUUUAGCACUCAAGAUCUGGGCGACCCAAAUCAUGUUUUAGGCGCCCGAAACUGGCAAAACUCCAGUUUUGCUUAUUUGAGUGCGCCAAGUCCAUUUCUACAUCCAUUUCAUGCAGANGGAUCUGAAUUGGCUUCUAGUUCAGUUCAAUUUAGCACUCAAGAUCUGGGCGACCCAAAUCAUGUUUUAGGCGCCCGAAACUGGCAAAACUCCAGUUUUGCUUAUUUGAGUGCGUCAAGUCCAUUUCUACAUCCAUUUCAUGCAGAAACGACUCCGACUCAGUCCGACACUCUCCAGAUGUGUUGGCCAGUCACUAAAACUGAAACCAAUCCGAUAUGAAACCCUCGGGACACUACAGCUUUAGCCUGUUUCGGCAAUUUCAGAAACUCGAUUUGACAACAUUCUGUUUUAGUGAUCCUUUAGCUUUUGUUGUCGGUUGUUGCUGCCCGGGGCACCUGUUUUGGUGUAUUUGGUGACAACGAUUAGUUAUAAUUGGGAUCAGGGUUUUCCAGAGCUGUUUAUUUGUCCCGAAGGCGUUCCGGCAAGUUUCGGAAGUUCGAGUGGGUUUUCGAUUAACGGUUCCAGUAACCGUUUGCUUGAUUUGUUUGAGAUUCUCAUUUGGGUAGUGCAUGACUCAAUAGAUCUUUCAUAAGUCCGAGGGCAGCUUCGCGUGGUCUGCACUCCAUGUUCUUGGUGGUACAAGUGGAUGCUUCGAGCUAGUAGUCGGUGAGAUUGUUUCACUUUCCUUUUCCCUGCUAUUGCACUUGCUUAUCAGUAUCUUAAUCUCUACAUGUCGGUUGCCUUUGUUCACAGUUUGUUUAUCUAUAUCUUGAUAGUUGCAUGGUGAUAGUUGUUUGUAGACAUGUAGAGUAGACUUGCAUAUAUUGUACAUCUUUGAACCUCGGCCCAGGCAACACAUCGACUCCUUUGUCACGUGUUUCGAUCUAGUUGACCAUGAUUCGGCGUUGUACGCCCUUAUAUCUGGAUUCUGCCAAGGUACCGAUUUUCUGCCGUCUUUCACAUUGAGCAUAUCAGCAUGAUUUAGUUACAGCACUGUGUGUAUUUCUAGACACCAGGUCGAUUUGGCCACCGACUAGGGAUGUACUUAUUCAGAUGGGUCGUCAGUGGACGCGUGAAUCAGGUCAGUGUAUGCAUUGUGACAGGCAACGCUUGAGGUCUGCGGACCAAUAUGGCAACCACCGGAUUGGGUUUGGUUUGGAUUAUUUACCUUUGAGGCAUCUGUUCAGUUGAGAUUCUGAUACAGUAGUAGCUUUAUAACUUGCUCAUUUACAAUUCUGUUAUUACUACUGUUGUUCACUUAUUUAUCAUGUCAUUUUCAUGUAUACCUAUUAUUCUAUCUCUUUUAUUUUUCAGUGAAUAUGAUUUGCCUUCGUGGCUUUGUCGUACCCACUGGAAAACCUUGUUGUGGUUUCUCACCCCCUCUUUUCUCUAGGUGGCACGAGUGACGAGUCGGUUCAUGGUGCGACGGGAAGACGUCCUAGUUAGACUGCAUUAGCAGUCGUCACCCUGAUUAUUUUUCUUUCUGUAUUUAGUUGUUUAAAUAAAUGAAUGGUUCAGUUAGAUGAUCAUUGAUAUUGCUUGAAUAAUAACAGUGGAUCUGUAUGAACUUGAGAUUUCUAGUAUGCAUGUUCUCGUGUUUUCUCUAGGUAUUUAGUAUUUGGAUUAUGGAUUCAUGCCUUGUGGUUUUCUACCGCUCGAGGUAGUCGGUUUUCAAAGAUUGAGUUUUCGUGUGGAAAACAAUUUUAAAAAGUUUUCGAAUGUUUUUAUAGAUGAACAAUUAGAGUUUAAAAAUAAAGUUUCCGAGUGGGGAGCACUUUUAAAUAGGAUGAUUGUUGUAUUGUGUAUCACAUCAUCCAGCGCCUAAGGAGAGUUUAGAGGCAUACAUCUGUGACACCCCAAUAGUCUCACAUUGGAUAGUUAUGGCUAGAUGUAGGAGUAUAUAAGUUUGAUUGGGCUAGAUAUAAUAAAUAGGCUUAAGCAUUUUGAGCCGAUUAUUUGGGCCCAACGAGUUAUUAUUGCUAGUAGGUUGGGUGGUUACAUUUGGUAUCAGAGCCAGUUCACCAGCCGAAAGUGUGAGAUGAGUCUUGGCUGAGCCAGGAUCGGAAUGAUAGACUAAGUCAGGGUCGGUGAUUGAAAAGCUAAGUCAGGGUCGGAAGGACAAAAGCUACUGAGACAAGUCUCACAUUACCUGGUGAUCUUGGGUUGUGUGUGUGUUUAAGGCUGACGAGGAUGUCAGGGCCUAAACGGGGGGAGUCUGUAACACCCUAAUAGUCCCAUAUCGGAUAGUUAUGGCUAAAUAUGGGAGUAUAUAAGUUUGAUUGGGUUAGACAUAAUAACUGGGCUUAAGCGUUUUGGGCCGAUUGUUUGGGCCCAACGAGUUAUUAUUGCUAGCGGGUUGGGUCGUUACAACAUCAUCUCUUAGAAUGGUUAGCUAUAUGGAAAUGCAUCGAAUUGAUUGUUUGUGGAUUGGUGAAUGUAGGUUGUAAGUUGGAUCCUUUUGAUGUUGUCGUUGGGUACGCCGUGCAAAUACAAAAAGACUCUGUGCCUAUAUUUCGACCCAGACGCUUUCGGGAUGCUCCAAAUAACCAACGAAUGGCAAGGGAAGAAAUGCAAUUGGGUCCAGGGUUGGGUCGAGCGGCCCUAUUUAUUAUUAUAGGCGAUAAUAAACGUUUUCUGAUUGGGUUGCCGGAGAGGAUUCGUUUUGGAUGGGUGCUCCAGAUGGCGAAAUGCAACAAGGAACGAGCGCCACACGGGUUUUGCCUUUGCGAAAACUUAAUCUGUGACACUUGGGAACGUGAUAAUCAUCUAUUGUAGGAGCUCUCACUCAGCCUUUCAGCUCAACCAGCAGUCGCUGCUGUGCUUUAGUUCAUUAGUUUAGUGUCGUCGAGUACUAAAUUGUAUUUGUAGCGGGUUUGUGCGUCACGUGGGUCAGGUUGUUUCAAUAAUAAUAAUAAUAAUAAUAAUAAUAUUUUCGCAACUUUGAUUUAUAAAAAAAAAGGCAUUAUUUUAGGUCCCGAGGCGUGACAGUGUAGUGUCUCUGGGGCUUAGCUGUCUGACUGACUAUAGUAUUAGUGACUUGUCGAUACAUCUGUAGAGUGUCAGGACGAGUCAGGGUCGUUUUGGCGUGAAAUAGACAUGAAAACAGACUCAGAGCUAUGAGAGUAGGAGUUUGAACAUUGAAAUCUACAAAAGCAGGAUUUUGAGUGUUGUAUACCAGUACCUGAGAGGAGUACCGGUACCCUUGAGGGAUUACAAGGUUUGAUGCUCUCGGAUUUGUGCAGCUUGGCGUCGAGUACCGGUACCUGUUGGUGAGUACCGGUACUGGGCCUGGGUACCGGUACUGCAUCCGGCUAGUACCGGUACACAGCACUCGAGUUCGCGAGUUGAGUGUUGGGUACCGAUACCCAAGUUGAGUACCGGUACUCAAACGGCUGAAUUGAGUUGGUAAGGGGUCUUUUGGUCAUUUUGGUUGUCGAUAUUAUCGCCAACCGACCCCCAGCCCUAUUUAGCUGAGUUGGAGCUAGGAGAACUGAUAGAGCUUCAUCUCUCUCUCUCUCCCUCUCUCUAGCUAGCUCAGGAUCACUCUCUGUUGCAUUGUGCUGGUCCUUGGAGGUUUGGUCGCGCACCACGGUUGAUUCCUUUGAGGCUGUUCCGGCAUGGGGCUUCUUCUAUCGACUUCUAGCCGGUGUUGGACGAGCAUUUGAGGUGGUUUAAUGUUUACCGAAAUCGUCGGAAUUCCUCCUAAGUCGUAGAGUGACAGCAUGUACUUUCUUAAGUUGAUCACCAUAUUUAGUAGCUCGAAUUCUUGUAUUUGCAUGUUUUUAUGAAAUCUGAAUUUGGAGUAUAAUCUAACGAUUUUAGAUGAAUUUUAUAUGCUGAACUGGGAUUUGACUUAGGAGAAAACGGAUUAAACCUACACUGUCAUUUUCGAAAGGUUAACAGAUUUAGCUUCAUGAGCUAGUUUCUUUAUUGUAUCACCGCUUUUAGUGCGUUGUGAAUACUCAGAAUAGUAUAGGUUAAGUUUACGCUCGUGCUGAGGGAUCGAGCUCGUUUUACAGUAGAGUUUGGACUGUUCUGUACCGUUGGGUGCCGUCGGGGCUGACGAUGGACCCAUAUGUUUAUAUCUUCUCUAAGAUUAUGCCGAGGGCACGUGAAAUUUGGUUGUUAGACCAGUUUGACCCAUUUGCAUUGACUAUAGCCUGUGUGAGCCUGAUUGAGCUCGACAGAGACACGCUUGCAUACUUGGUUGGGUCGCUCCCACGAGUGCCGCUCCGGAGUGAGGCUUUACUUGCAUUGAUGUCGCAGCAGUUCCGUUUGGGCAAUUCUUGGACCGGCCAUUCCCGUGGGUGGUGUGCGGUGUAGUUUGGAUACAAACUGAACGGGCCAGUCGGCAGUCUCUUGAGAUUGGGUCAGUGUUGAGCUAGUGAUGCAUUUCUAUAUCUGCAGAGAGCAUGGUUGGAUAGCGAUAGUCUAGUAGGAUAUAGCUGUAGAGUUUCUUCCAGCUUACUAUCCUUUGCAUACCUUACUGUAGAUUUAGUGGGUGGGCCGUUGGGGUUGGUGACGGUACCUACUGAGGACUAUUUUGGUUUGCAGUAGUUCUCACACCCCGUUGUUGCUACCUUUUUGCAGACCCGUCCGUUGCUGCUGCUGUUGAUUCUAACCGUGGUAAGGGAGUCGCGAGCUAAAUCCCUAUCAUCCCUGAUCACUGUGCUAGAGGAGUACCCCUUCAGAGGUAGUUUCGGUUGUUACCAUGUACAUACAGUUAUAUUUUGGUUGUACACUCUGGACCGGGGUUGUAUUUUAGAUAUUGUAUGUACAGUGGACUUAGUGUGUAUAUAUAUAUAUAUAUAUGUGUGUGUGUGUGUGUGUGUGUUUCUAUUUAGCAGCUCUGUGCUUAGCAGCUCUGUGCUUUGGUUGUAACUCCAAUUUGUUUGCAGGUAUAUAUGUAUGUUUCUAUUUAGCAGCUCUGUGCUUUGGUUGUAGCUCCAAUUUGUUUGCAGGUACAGCUAUCGCUCCGUAUACACGAAAAAUUCCUGUGUAUACGGCAGGUCUGUUGGCGUGCCUCGAGAAACGUGGUAAUCCGGAGCGUGACAGAUUAAGUUGGUAUCAGAGGUUAGAAUUAGAUAGUUGAGACCUAAAAAACCUUAGACUUUGGCAGACCUUAGGAAAGCAAGCCGUGAGAAGCGUGACUUAUCGCGAAAGUCAAUGAUUGAGUGGUUUUAACUUCUCCUAAAGUAGAGAGAAUGAUAGAUGGAGUGUCUGUUCUUGCCAGAUGAAUUAUGACGGCUGCAGACGGUAUAAUUUGGUGGAGGAACAAAGACGGCCUUCUAGACUUUCGCUUGAUUGGGUCGUGAGUGUUUGUGUUUUGUAUUUGACAAUUAUCUUGGUUUCAGGUGGCUAUAAGGACUUAUCGGUGUCGAGGUCAACUGCCGACGCGAGAUCAUUCCACGCCAUCGGGGAUGCCAGAGCAGGCAAGACUGAGUCCACCCUCGGAUUUGAGAGAGCAGUUACCUGCCGUGACUGAGGUGACCAGGCAGUAGAGUGCGUUACUGCAGAGGAUGUGCGAGGCGUUCACUUAGCAGCUGAGUGCAGUACCUAGAGCGUCAGAGCCACAGGCGCCACCCCCGACAAUUCCGGUGGAUGCAUCAGCCACAGCUGCACCCCCACAAAUGACAGCCCCCACUGCACCCCCACAAAUGACAGCCCCCACUGCACCAACUGCUCCUUCUGGCGAGGCAUCGGGAUCAGUUUGGCAGAUGUCAGAGGCAGAGCAGGAGCGGAUGAGUGAGAGGCUAGCUCGUUUUUGCCGAUUUGACCCACCUCACUUUGAUGGUAGUCGCACCGAGCCUUGGGUUGUAGAGGCAUGGGUAAGUGCGAUGAAGAAGUUGUUUGAGGAUCUCUUUAUACCAGAGCGAGAGCAAGUUCAUUUGGCAGUACACUGUUUGGCAGGAGAUGCGCAUGCCUGGUGGAGGAGAAUACGACAGAAUUGAGGUUUGGAUGCACUACAGUUGAGAUGGGACGAGUUUCGGGGAAUGCUGUAUGGGGUCUAUUUCCCAAGCAGCGUAAAGCAGAAACUCGAGAAGGAUCUGAAGAGAAUACAGCAAAGGGAUCAGUCAGUACAGGAGUAUACUCGAGAAUUUACCAGACUUCUUGACUGUGUGCCUUUUGUAGCCAAGGAUGAGGCUCAUAAGGUGUUCUAUAUAAGAGAGGAUUGAGGCCAGAGAUCUUUGUUUUGGUACAGGCGCAGAGAUUACGGACCUUGUGUCAUGCCCCGGAUUUUCACGUUUUUCCGGGCACGCCAACAGACCUGCUAUAUACAUAGAAAUUUUUCGUAUAUACGAAGCGAUAGCUAUAUCUGUAAUCAUAACAUAACUACAAUUAGUAGUAUAGAACUGCAAAACAUAACUAUGAAUAUAUAUAAAACAUAAAGGGGUUUCGGCAUAUACAAAAAAUCCACGACACAACUCGCUCCAGCGAAUACAACGACAAUAUGAUAAUAUGUACAUAGAAAACCCCAAAAACUACCUUUGGAUGGUACUCCCCUGAUACGGCAACAGGACUGGUAGGGAUCUAGCUCGCGACUCCCUUUCCACGGUCAAAGUCAGCAACAACAGCAGUCGCAGACGAAGGCUCUGCAAAAAUAUGUCAACAACUGGGUGUGAGAACUACUAUAACAAAAGUAGUCGUCAGCGGAUACCGCCACCGACCUCAAUGGCCCACCCACUAAGUCUACAGAAGUAUGUGCAAAGGAUAGUAAGGAAAGCUGAAAAAAGAAAUCUACAGCUACAUGCCACUCUACUAUCGCUAACCAACUCGGCUAUUUGUAGAUAUGAAAAUGCAUCCCACUGACCUAAUCUCACUAGGGACUACGAUACGCCCAUCCCGCCUGUCUAAGCUACACCGUACACCACCACGAAGACGGCCGUUGGAGAGCAAGGUCCAAACCGGACUACUACGACAUCAACACAAAGCAAGGUAGCCAGACUCCGGAGCGGCACUCAUGGGCGGAAUCCAACCGAGUAUGCAAGCGUGUCUCUGCCGAGCUCAAUCAGGCUCUCACAGGCUGUAGUCAAUGCAAAUGGGUCUAACUGAUCUAACAACCAAAGCUCACAUGCGCUUGGCACAAUCUGAUGCAAGAUACAGAAAUCUGGGUCCAAUAUCAACCGCGACGGCACCCGACAAUACGGAACAGUCUAUACACAACUGUAAAACGAGCCCGACCUCCCAGCACGAGCGUAAACUCAACAUACACUAAUCUGGGUAUCCACCUCGUACUAACAGAGGUGAUACAAAAUAAAAACAGCUCCUAAAGUUAAAUUUGGUAACUUUUCAGAAAUGACAGUGUAGGGUUUAUUGGUUUUUUCCUAAGUCAAAUCCAAAUCAAACAUAUAAAACGAUUUUAGAAUUUAAGGCUCCAACUCAGAUUUCAUAAAAACUAUGCAAAUCGAUGAAUUGAACUACUAACAUGAUACUACACAUAAAACAUGCAUGCUGACGAAAUUUCGACUUAGGAGGAAAUCCGACGAUUCCGGUAAACAUCAACCCACCUUGAAAAGCUCGUCCAACAACGGCGAGAAGUCGAAAGGAGGGAGGCCACGCGCUCGCCCGGCCUCCAACGGCGCAACGGCGACACCCACGCGCUCGAACGACCCUCCGGAGCAACGUCGAAAUCCACCCGAGCUCGAGCUGCGACCUCCACAACGUACUAGUCCACCAGCUAAAGAAAGAGAGGGAAAGAAAAAGACCCUGAUCUAAAGCUUUCUCUGAAUAUAAAGGCUGGGGAUAAACAUGGGAAAGAAUGAUAAAUCAAAAGACCAAACUGCCCCUUACCUACUCAAAAUUACAGUUAGAGUACCGGUACUCGGGCCCUCAGCCUGCAGACUCGCGCACUAAGUACCGAUACUCGCCCGAUGUAAUACAGGUACUCGAGCUCGGUACUGGUACUCGACAACCAGGUACCGGAACUCAGCAUCAAAUAUACUCAAACCCGAGAGCAACCUAGUUCUGAAAUCAUGCUAGGGUACCAGUACUCCUCCCUGGUACCGGUACUCAAUAUUGAAAUCCUGCACUUUACAGAUUUCAGCGUCAGAACUCCACUCUCGCGUCGCGCCUAGUCCGUUUUUCGUUCAUUUCGCGCCAAAAUGUCUCUCUAGACGUAUCAACAAGCUUCAGAUGCUAGGAUCACACGGGCCGCUAAACACCAGGGACACUACAUCCUCCCCCACUACAAAAGGUUUCGUCCUCGAAACUUAGAUACAUACCUCAACAAGGGGUCUCAAACAAGUAGGGAAAAGAGUCCAGCAUCACCGCCUCCGGCUCCCAAGUCGCCUCCCGCUCCUCGUGAUUACUCCACUGCACCUUCACAUAAGGUAUGAUUCGGUUGCGCAAUUCUUUCAUCUCACAAGCAAGAAUUCGCACCAGUCGCUCCUCAUAUCUCAAGUCCUCGCCAAGCUCAAGUGGAGUAAAGUCGACCACGUGUGAGGGGUCAAACACAUAUCUCCUUAAUGCCGAGACAUGGAAUACAUCGUGGAUAUCGGCAAGCUGUGGGGGUAGUGCAAUCCUAUAUGCCACUGGUCCGACUCGCUCCAAAACCUCAAAAGGGCCAACAAAUCGUGAAUUGAACUUUCCACGAACCCCAAAUUGACGAAUCCCUCGGGACGGCGAGACUUUCAGAAACACAUAAUCUCCAACCUGAAACUCCAAGUCUCGUCUCCUGGUAUCAGCAUAGCUCCUCUGUCGACUCUGGGCGGUCUCAAGAUGUCGUCGUACAAUCUUGACCUUCGCCUCUGCCUCCGACAGAAUUUCAGGCCUCAAAGUCUUCCUCUCACCCACAUCACUCCAAUGCAAAGGUGAUCGACACUUGCGUCCAUACAACGCUUCAAACGGAUAAUGCUCGUUUGAUAGCUGUUGUUGUAUGCAAACUCAACCAAUCUCAAGUGUCGAUACCACCCUCCUCCAAAAUUCAAGACACAUGCUCUCAACAUGUCCUCUAGAGUCUGAAUGGUCCGCUCAAACUGACCAUCUGUCUGUGGGUGAAACGCUGUGCUGAAAUCUAACUAUGUACCCAAAGCCAUUUGAAGGCUCCUCCAAAAAUGUGAGACGAACCUCGGCUCUCUAUCUGAUACUAUCGAGGUAGGUACACCAUGCAAUCUAACAAUCUCAUCCAAGUACAACUGAGCGAGCCGCUCUCUGGACCAUGUGGUCUGCACUGGUAGGAAGUGAGCAGACUUGGUCAGUCUGUCCACUAUCACCCAUAUCGCAUCAAAACCAUCCUGUGCUCUCGGUAAACCCACGACAAAGUAAGCAGACUUGGUCAGUUUGGGUUGUUACCAUGUACAUACAGUUAUAUUUUCGUUGUACACUCUGGACCGGGGUUGUAUUUUGGAUAUUAUAUGUACAAUGGACUUAGUAUAUAUAUAUAUAUAUAUAUAUAUAUAUAUAUAUAUAUGUUUUUGUUUUGCAGCUCUGUGCUUUGGUUGUAGCUCCUAGUUGUUUAUAGGUACAGCUAUUGCUCCGUAUACACGAAAAAUCCCUAUGUAUACGAUGGGUCUGUUCGCGUGCCCGGAAAAACGAGGUAAUCCGGAGAUAUGACAGACAGACUGCCACGUCGUUAAAUUGAGCUACUCAAAUCAAGUCGACCGCCAUGUCGUUAAACUAAGCAACUCAACUCAAACCGACUAAAUGAUUGCCAAGUCCAUGAACUGAGCAUUUCACCAAUGUAUGGCGGGGGUAUGCCCCCGCUUAACUCAUGUACUUGAAAAUUAUAUAAAUAUAAGUUUAUCUUUAUAUGUGGUCUCUUUCUAUUAUCGACAUUAAAUUUGGUCUCUUAAUCGAGGAUUCCUUAACACUGAAAGUGUGAAAUAAUUAAUAGCAGAUUGUUCAGUCUGUUGGAAGCCAUGAACCAAUAAUCCUGAUUUCAAAAAAAGCUUAAAUAAAUUUAAUCUCUACCAUGAAUGACCACUCGCCGGAGAAAAGCCUGCAGCAGGGCCGGUUCGUUCGUGGCGGUAGACAAAUAUAAAUAUAAAUAUAUAUAUAUAUAUAUAUAUAUAGAGAGAGAGAGAGAGAGAGAGAGAGAGAGAGAGAGCUAGUCUCCUAUACUAUCUAUAGUACCGGGGCUCCGGUACUAUAGUCUCGUUUUCGAUCUUAGGAUGUUCAAAUCAACGAUCCACACCAUUAAAACUUAUCUAGGGUAUUUAAAGUUUUUAGAAAUAAAAUUUUAUAUUUUUUUGACAUAGUUUACUUUAUGAUCAAACCAUUUUAAAAUUGUCAAUUUUCAAUGACUACUAUGGUGAGUUUGGAGUUUAACAGUGUAGAAGAAUCUAAAUUUUUUCAAAUUUUGAUAGAAAAUACUUUAAACUAUCUAGUUUAAGGUUAACAUUCUUGAUCUUGAAUUUAAAAUUUCUAUGCUCAAAUUUUAAAGAUUAUUCAAUUUUCACCACCCAUUUUGACAUAAUUUAUUUACUAAGUAAACGAUGUCGAAAAAAACUAAAAUUUUAUUCCUAAGAACUUCAUAUAUCCUAGAUCAUAUUUAACGGUAUGGAUCAUUAAUUUGAAUACCCUAAGAUCGAAAACAAGACUAUAGUACCGGAUCUCCAGUACUAUAGAUAGUAUAGUAGCCUAAUUCUCUCUCUCUCUCUCUCUCUCUCUCUCUCUCUCUCUCUCUCUCUCUCUAUAUAUAUAAUAUAUAUAUAUAUAUAUAUAUAUAUAUAUAUAUAUAUAUUUGAGCUACUAUGCUAUCAGAACCAUAAAGUAGUUAUGCUUACGCAUUUUUAGCCCUUAAUCAAAGAUUCUACGGAGCGGGAUGAUAGCGUCCCCUUAGGGUUGAGUGUCCCCAUUGUUAAAAUAUUAAUCCAAUGGGUAGAAAUGAUCAAUGAUCAAGGGUUGAUCUAAGGGCUAAAAUCGAUAAGCCACCAAUCUACUUUAUGCUUUCGAUAGCAGAGUAGCUCUACUUUAUAUAUAUAUAUAUAUAUAUAUAUAUAUAUUAUUAAUAUAUUAAACGGCUCGGUUUACUACCGAUAUUGUUUUCGAUGAUAGAGCUUCCAAAUUGAUGAUCGGCACCUCGUAAAUAUAUAUAAACUAUUUAAACUAUCUGGAAAUCAAAAUUCAUACAUUUUCGAUUAUUUUCUUCUGUCCAUCAAGUGAAUAGAAAAUGAAUGGCUGGAAAGAAUAUCUUCAAAAAGUGAUGAUACAAUUUUUUUUUUUUUUUUUUUGAGGAAACAGGGAUAUACCCUAUUUGUACAAAGUGGGAAAGUUACAAAAGUAUGUAAGGCGGCUGCGGACCGCCUGUAACGACAGGAGUUCGCAAUGUAGCAAAACACACCAACGGAAGUCAAAGUACACCCGACCACAAUGAUACAGAAAAGAGUCGAAAUUGAGUACAAGAUUCAAUCCCGUCCUCCUGAGAACACUGAAGUCCAGAGAUGAACCAGGCUAUGAACUCUAUUUGUCGUCUCGUCCGCUCGGGUGGAACGGUCUUCGAAAAUGCGCCUGUUUCGUUCUUUCCAUAUCUCCCAACAUGCCGCAGUAAAGCAGGUGUCAAGGCAUUUCUUUUGUCUCCCUCGGACAUUGCUCCUUGCCUGAUCCCAUCGAACAAUGAAAGCAUCAGGGUUAGUGUUCCUGAAAGCUUGAAAUGUCGGCGUCGUUUGUAGUAGUUGAGCCCAAACCGUCGCCGCAUAGUUGCAAGUGAAAAGGAUGUGAUCAAGGUUUUCCUCGUUUUUGGAGCAUAAUGCGCAUAUCGACGGGCCGUGCCAACCUUUGAGAGCUAGUGUAUCAUCCGUUAAAAUUCUGUUUCUCGCCGCCAGCCAAAUAAAAACUUUAACUCUGAGGGGGAUCUUGAUGUCCCAAAGAAAAGCGAUUUUGCCAGCGUUAAUGCCAUCGAAAGUAAGGAAAGAGUAGGCGCGGCAAACCUGGAAAGCACCAUCGUCGUUCCAGCGCCAACAGGUUGUGUCUCGGAAUUGGGUUAGUACGGUAUUCUGGAUCAGUAGUUUCAGUCGCUGUAGCUCGUCCAGUCGGCCGCCCUGUAGCCGAGAUUGUUGGAACCCCAUAUUCCCCUUGUGAGCGAAGCGCCGAAUCCAGGUAGAGACCGAGAGAUGUUUGUGACUCGCGAUGGUAUAGAGAUUAGAGAAUUGAUUUCGCAGGGUGGAUUCGCCCGCCCAUCUAGCAUUCCAAAAGGACGUACCUUUCCCAUCGCCUACCGAAAAGGAAACGGACGCAUGGAAAGGUGCUGUGGUGCUGAGGAUUCCUCUCCACAUUGGACAGCAUCUGUUCGGAAUGAUAUCGGCAGUGGCCGGCUGUCUAUACCUGUAGUGUUUUUGCAUCAAUAGUUUGACCCAAGGUAGAUGCGGAGAAUUGUAAAAUUUCCACAGGCCCUUCAUCAAGAGCGCCGAGUUCAUCGCCUGCAGCUUUCGAAUACCAAGCCCACCCCAUGGUUUAGGGCGGCAGACUUGAUCCCAAUUAACAAGGCAAUGGAAGCCAUUUGUGAGUUUUCUCCCCCUCCAAAAGAAACCGCGACGGAUCUUGUCAAUGGAUUUAACCACCCAACCCGGCAAUCGAAAAAUUGAGCAGAAGUGGGACGGGAUACUCGAGAGCACCGAAUUAAGUAGCACCAGCCGGCCUCCACGAGAUAAAUUCAGCCCCUUCCAGCCCGCAAGACGAUUGUCGAUCUUCUCAAUUAAAGGCAUAUAAUCGGAUCUGGUAAGUCUCGUAGGGGAGAGGGGGAGGCCCAGGUAGCGAAUUGGGAAAGCCUUCACCGUGCAGCCGAAAGAGCUGGCUAGGGAAGUGGCUUGGGUUUCCGACAAGUUAAUAGGAGUAAGAGAGCUCUUGUCGUAGUUGAUCCUCAACCCAGAGCAAGCCGCGAAGUCGUCGAGAAUGAGUUUAGUGGCUGCCGCUGCCCUCGGGGAGCCAUCUAAAAAGAUGAGUAAGUCGUCCGCAAAUUGUAGAGCUUGGACUCUGACAUCUCUGAUUCCAGGGUCUUGGAGCAAACCGGACGAAGUCGCCCUUUGGAACAUUCUGAAAAGAACGUCGACACAUAGGAUGAAAAGAAGAGGGGAUAGAGGAUCACCUUGCCGGAGCCCCCGCUUGCAGGUGAAGCUGUUACCCGGGAUGCCGUUGAGAAUCACCGAUGUGUUGGCCGACUUUAGGAUUUCUUGAAUCCAGCUUAUCCAAGUCGGCGCGAACCCCCUGGCUCUGAGGAGGUCGAUCAAGAAGUCCCAGUUGAUGUGAUCGAAGGCACGUUCGAAAUCGAUUUUUAAAAGAGCCGCACUCUGCUUAGAGGCAUAAUAGUGAUGAACAAGAACAUGUGCGGUGCUGAAAUUAUCGAAGAGAUUACGACCCUUGAUAAAGGCUGCUUGGUGCGGGUUAAUCAGCUCCGCCAUGAAAGAUUGUAAUCGCGUUGCAAGCACUUUGGAAAUAAGUUUGCCCAUGCCAUGGACCAGACUUAUUGGGCGAAAAUCCUUAGCUAGUAAAGCAUCACUCUUCUUCGGAAUGAGGCAAAGCCAGCUGGCGUUGAUCUCGGCCAGCUUCGCCGACACAUUGUGAAAGCUAUUGAAGACCGACAAUAUAUCGUUGUUUAGUAAGGACCAAAAUCUUUGGUAGAAAAGCAUCGGUAGCCCGUCAGGUCCAGGUGCCUUUUCCGGCCCACUGGAGAACACAGCCUUUCUCACCUCAGCGGUCGUGAAGUCGUCCUGGAGGCAGGAGAGAUCGGGGUUGAGACCUCUAUACAACUCCAGAAGGUUGAUGCUUAAAGUGGAUCCGGGAUCUUCACCUAGCUGAUUGGAGAAAAAAGAGAGUAGGUGAUCAGCUAUAGGUUGAUGAGAGGAAAGCAAGGUGCAUCCAUUAGAGAGGCGGGAUAUGAAAUUGGAAUUCCUGCGACCGGUGGCCUUGAGGUGGAAAAAUCUAGUGUUGGCGUCUCCUACUUUGAGCCAAUGGACUCGCGAUCUCUGCUUCCACUUUAUCUCUUCUUGAAGACAGAGUUCUUCAUAUCUAACCUUGAGCAUCGGCCUCAGCGCGCAUUCCAGAUUUGUUAGGGUCCUGCGUUCUUCAGCCUUGUCUAGCCAGUCGAUCCAAAGCAGACACAAAUUCGCCUGCCUUUGUAGCCGCGACGAGAGGCCAACACUCCAGUUCCGAAGAGCAGUCUGAACAGAUUUAAGUUUAGAUGCGAACUGAUUAACUGGGGUAGAAGCCGAGGUGGUCGAAUUCCAUGCUGUGGAGACCACAUCAAAAACCGCCGGAUGACGUAGCCAGAAGCUUUCAAAUCUGAAUAAGUGAGUCGACGGAAUGAAAGUGAAUGCCGAAAGGACAAGGGGUGUGUGGUCGGAUCUAGGUCGCGGGAGAGCACGUAGGGUAGAUCUCGGAAAAGCCAGAACCCAAUUGGUCGAGAUAAAUGCUCGGUCCAGCCGUUCCAGCGUAGGGACACUCCUUCCAUUCGUCCAGGUGAAAGCCUUGUUCAAGAUGGGGAGAUCAACCAGCUGUAAAUCGUGCACAACCUCUCUAAAGUUUAAAAUAUCAGUAAUAUGCGUCGUGGCUCCGUUCUUGUCAUCCACCGAAAGUAGUACAUUGAAAUCGCCUAACAAAGUCCAGAUGCCAGUAGAAAAGGAGUGGAUGGAUCGAAGCUUCUGGAAGAAGUAAGCUUUAAGGGUAACAUCCGUGGGACCGUAAACGUUGGAGAUCAUGAAGGUCGCUCCAUCAAUUUUCCUCUUGAGCAGCACAGUUAGGGUGAAAGCUCCUUUCCAUUCUUGAAUACAAUCAAAGAGAGAUGAGUUCCAAGCCGUUAACAGCCCCCCUCUAGUCCCCUCCGCAUCCCGCGUUCGGAAUUCGUGAAGGUGAUACCCACAAAAUGAUCGAAACUUUUCAAGCGAAGUAACAGAUAGUUUGGUUUCCUGAAAGCAAACCACACAACAUCUGCAUUGUCUGAUAAAAGCCUUAACAACUGUGCACUUAGAAAGGUCGUUCAGGCCGCGUACAUUCCACGUUAAGAAACGAAAGAGUCUAUUUCUAGCCAUAGAGAAGGAAGACACAGUCCAAAGGGGACGCGGGAAGAGAAGAGCUCAGACUCCCGUCAAGAUGGGCCCAGGAUGAGCAGAGGAUGCAUAUCUCGUGGUUCGAGAGGUAGCACGGUCUGCAUCAGAGAUGCCACAGACCGUCUUAAUGAGGAUGAUCUCUUCGGGAGUAAGAGGGAGCGCUUGAUCUCUCUUCAGAAUUGUUUCCUGAUCCGUCGGCACCUUCGAACCAACAGUACAAGCGAGCCGCCUGUCCUUGGCUAGUUGCAAAGAAGCUCGACCCGGCGAGGGAUCGGAGGGAGCGGAGGUGGAAGGUUGACCCGCCGAGGUGGAAGGAGCGGAGGUAGCGGGGGUGGGAGGAGCCGAGGUGGAAGGUGCCGAGGGAGCGGGGGGAGCGGGGGUGGAAGGUUGGCUCGCCGAUGUGGAAGGAGCGGAGGUAGCAUCGCAAGAGGCUCGGGCGAUCUUUGAAGGGAGACUCGGGGCGGAGGCCCUCGGGGCGCAGACCCCAGCAGGCCCACCGUGCGCGAGGAUUGUAUCCUGAUCCGUCGGCACCUUCGAACCAGAAGAACACGCGAGCUGCCUGUCCUUGGCAUAUUGCAGAGAAGGUUGACCCGCCGAGGUGGAAGGAGCGGAGGGAGCAUCGCAAGGGGCUCGGGCGGUCUUUGAAAGGAGAUUCGCCACUUUAACCUUCUUGCACAAAAUGGCCUGAGCUCUCUGAAGGGAAGUCUUCCCAUUGCCAAUGUUUUUAUCCGCUAAUCUCUGGCUUCGCCUGUAGGAACAGACUUUCCCACUUCGUUGUGGACCUAGGGGCCUGGGGAUGGAGCUCGAAGUAGGUUCCCGAUCCGCGAGGCUCUUCUCAGCAACCUGGGGCAAAUCCGGAUGGAGAAGGUGAUCGCAGCCUUUGUCGGAUCGCCCACUGAGCUCGUGGCCCAAAGAGAGAGAAUUCGAAGGAUGUGGACCAGAAGGUAAGAGGAUGAAGUUGGGGCGAUCCAAGGCGGCUGGCCGGCUUGGGCCCGCAAGGUGGGCGGACAGGCCAGGAAGGUGCUCGUGACUCGGGGAGCAGACCCCGGGAGGCCCACAGUGCGCGCCAAGCCCAGCAGAGACAUCCACAGGACCCGGAAGCUCGGUGGACAAAAGCUGGGGCCGAGCCGGUAGGGGCGGGUCCGGAAGCUCGGUGGAGGAAAGUUGGGGCCUAGCCGGCUGUGGUGGGCCACCAUGCUCCGCAGACAGGCCAGGUAUUAGCUGAAGACUCGGGGCGCAGACCCCGGGUGGUCCACUAUGCGCGACAUCCACAGGACCCAGGAGCUCGGUGGACGAAAGCCCAGUAGGGACAUCCACAGGAUCCGGAAGCUCGGUGGGCGAAAGUUGGGGCGGCCCACCAUGCUUCGCAGCGGAAUGGGAGUCCAAACCCCCGCAAGGAGACACGAGCGGUCCCAGUCCCAGCGGGAGGAUCGAGGGGGGUUCACGGGGGAUAUCCUUUCCACUGACACGCUCCUCCUCCCUGACAGGACCAGGCCGGGUCCUGUCAAACCCUCGCUCAGACACAGCACCGUUUGAAUUUGAAACCAGCUUCCAGCUCGGCCGGUGAAGAGCACCGCUAGAAAGUAAUAGAUGCCGGACCGGGUAAGUUCGCCGCCUGCCCUGAGAGUGUCGAUGUUGGGGGGCAUGGCGGUGCUCGCGGUCCCCGAAAGCAGGAACAGCUUGAAACCCUGUCUGCCUGAUAAACCUCUCUUGCUCAUCUAAGGAGGUUAGACCCAAGCGCUCGUCAAGACCUUCCCCAAGUAAAAUCGGAUUAGCCGCCUCAGAGGAUUCAAUCUCAAUGGGAACAACGAACCAUCUGUCCUCCACCAUGAGGUCUAGAACUUCCGGUAUGGAGUCAACACUCCGGCAACGAAUAUUGAGCCUGUAAUAGGAAACAUCCGCUCCCGAGUCGCUAGCGGCAUCCACCUCCCAGAGCUCCCCGAAACCACUGACCGCUGCUUUGACGUCCUCUCUGUUCCAACAAAGGAUAGGCCAAUCGCGCAGGCGGAUCCAAGCUUUGCAGCGAAGGUAGCCCCUAGCUCUUUCCCCCACCUCUACCCACCUGGAGAAGUGGAAGGAAAAAUUGUCGAUCCUGAUGGGGCUUCGGCCAAUAGCAGAUUCGCGAGCCACCCAGUUGGGAAAGAAUACCGCCCUCGUCCGCGGUAAGAAGGAGGCCACUCUGAACGCGGUACUGGAUCCUCCAAAUCUGGCAGCCAAGCCGCGAGCCAGGAUCUCGUCAAUGUUGCUAGGGUGCGGGUCCGGAACCUCCACGCGAGCCACGCAUCCCACAAGGUCGGGUUGUCCCGCAGCAGGGACACUCGGUGGGAGAAAAACUUCUGCUGAGGAUGGCCUGUUGCUAGAGGGACCCUCCUCCGAGAGGGGACCACGAGAAGCAGACGCCAAGGCGUGGCGUGAGUGGUGAUGCAUAUCGAGCUGGGAGGUGACAGGUGCCGGAGUAGGUUGCCCCAAGAGAGCACGGGUUGCCUUCGCCGCCUGGGGUUGGGUGGAAGUAACAGAGCGAUGCCCGGGCCACCGCGAAGUGGCCUGACUCUGUCUACAGCGCAGUGCCGAGUGGCCGAUGCGCAUACAGAGAAGGCCGCGUCGAGGCUCCCGGCAGCGAUCCGCAAAGUGGCCCCUUUCGAAGCACCUGAAGCACCGUCCCUUGAGCGAGGGGUUCAAGAGGAAUCUGGGCGGGGCACGAGGCAGGGAAGGGUGGGAAGUAAAAGAAGGACCCCGAGGCAGGGAUUGGGAGAUGGGUGGUGUUCCGGAAGAGGACAAGAUGGCAUCUUUGUAAGAAGUAUUCGGUCUAACGCGUGCCCCAGUAGCAGCCCGUGAAGGGAAAAAAGGUGCAGUAGGUUGGAGAGAGGGGGUAUGGCCACAGUAAAAGUUGUCGGCCCCCUGCACUCGAAGACUGGCUGCGUGGGGCCCCCGAAGGGGACGGUGGUCCCGGCGGGGAAAGAAUGGUGGGAGCAUGGUAGGGGAAGAGUUACGUGGUGGAGACGGUGGGGCGAGCCAUCCUACUUAACACUGAUGUAUGAUUCCUGAGGUUCUUUUUUUGGCUUUUUUUCAGAUCAUGAUACAAUUAUAUAUUUGAGAUCAUAUGAGUCUAAGAUAUUAUUUUAAUAUAGUUAAAAAAUUUUAACAUGGAAAUUUAGUUGAUAUUUGAAAUUUACUAUAACGUUAAACAGCAAACUGACAUAAUGCCACUAAAAUUAUCUGAUUUUGUUGAGUUCCUUUAAUGUUCUUAUAGAUGAUGCCGAAAAAAUCAUGAAAUUUGAUUUCUAGAUAAUGUUAAAAAUGCUCUAGAUCAUGUUCCAUCGUUAUGAUUCGUGCGAUUUGAAGAUCUAUCAUAAAAAAUAAUCGAAUAGUAACGAGGAAUUUUAAUGACUGAUAGUAGCCAGUAAAACUCUCUUAUUCUCUCUCUCUCUCUUUCUCCAGUCUCGGCUUUUUCUCUUAAUUCUUAAUAUAAUAUAUAUAUAUUAUAUAUAUAUCUAAUAUGAGUAUAUAAUUGAGUUCUAUGAUUUUAAGAGUACAGUUAUUUGGUGUUAUAGAUUUGGCAUGGAUUAAGGAGUGCGUUAGGAUGAUGUAGGCCCUAAGUUGAGUAGAGUGAAUUGGUUGAAUAGUAUAAAUUUACAUUAAAAACGAUAAAGCGUAGAUCUAGACGGUGGAAAAUUCACAGGAAGCACAAAGUGUUUGGUGCUUUUACAAGCACCAUAAAGCCUCUAUAUAUAUAUAUAAUUUAUAAUAUAUAUAUAUAGUUUAUUAUAAUAUAGUAUAGUUAUAUAUCUAUAUAUAUAUAUUAUAGUAGGUAUAUAGGUAAUUAUAGAAACCCCUAAUCAAUACUCCGCUUUUAACUUCCUCCUGUCAUUAUAAAAACUAUACUUUACUUUGUAAAAUUAAAAAAUGUUCGUUCACUCCUGCGUUAGUGCUCGCAUUAGGUGUUCCGUUUAAAUAUUAUUAUAUUUUUUUAUACCGUGAAGAAGGGGUGGGUUAGUCUACCAAUGGUGGCCGGAAAAAUAGCUCAGUCUCCUCCUCAAUAUUGCAGCUGUUGAAAGGAAAUUGGUCAUUUGUCAUUUAGUUAACACAGUAAGCUCCUGUGAAAUUUUUUUAUUUUUAAGGGGCUCGGGCAAAAGUGUAGGUUUUUAAUAACAGGGAGGGGAAGUGAAAAAAGUGGGUAUUGACAUAAAGGGGUUUUAUGUAAUUUAGUCAUAUAUAAUGAUAUAGAGAGAGAGAUGGAGUCCCGCUACUAUGCUAUUAAUAACGAAAGCAUUUGGUUGCUACCAAGUUUUCUGCGUAGAUUUCUAACAUUUUGAUCAUUUUCACCCUUAGAUCAUACUAUUAAUCAACAAUCACCCCUCAUCCAAGGGGACCACGCAUCAUCCUAACCGCACAUUACUUAAUCGAAUGGCUAAAAACUUGGUAGCCACAAAGACUUGGUGGCUAUUAACUAGGCAUAGUGAGCCUAGUUAUUAUAUAUAAUAUAUUAUAUAAUAUAUAUUUAUAUAAUAUAGGAAGGAGAGAGAGAGAGAGAGAGAGAGAGAGAGAGAGAGAGAGAGUUGGACUGGGCUACUAUUAGUAGCAAAAUCCAAUUGUUGCUACCAGUUUUUUAGCCUUUGGAUCAACUCUUUUCAUUAUUUCUAACCAUUGGAUUAAAUACUAUAACUCAGUGGGGACCACUCAACCCUAGGGGGACCAAUCAACUCUAACCGACUAAUAUCAUCCUGACCCUACAAUUUUUCAUCCAAGGGUUAAAAGCUUGAUAGCAAAAAGAGCGUUUUACUAUUAAUAGUAUUCCAGCCUAAUUCUCUCUCUCUCUCUCUCUCUCUCUCUCUCUCUCUCUCUCUCUCUCUAUAUAUAUAUAUAUAAUGUUAUGUUAUGAUAUUAAAGUACAUGAUAGGAUCAUAUUUUAUAAAUAAAAUUUAUUUUCGUUGUAUUAAAUGCACACGCACGUGCAUAUAUUUUCUUACAGACACGACCCGAUGCCCUUGAGCACUCUGGUUCAAGCGAGGUGCGGGAGUUGCGCUACCAGAUGGCCACAUUGGUCGAGGUGGUCAAGAAGCAAGUUGAGGCCUCUCAAACGUCAAGAGUAGCAGAUCAUGAAGCUCCGUGAAUUUAUUGUGCAAUAUAUGGGAGCUGCAUGGGCUAGUUAGGAACCUACCCCUUUCGCCUCCUAUGCGAAAAGCAGCAGAGGGCAUUGCGAUAUGCUCUAUCAGGGGCGACGAGGAAGGCGUCCCUUAGGACAUAUUUGGAUACCUUCACCGUGGCACACAUGGCUCAACAUGUGGAGUAAGGGCGAUCUCGGGCCGCCUACUACUGGACAAGAUGGCCCAUAAAUGGUGAAAGAUAGAGAAGGGCAAGCGACCCAUGGGCUUGUCGCCCCCGACUUAGGAGGAGUUUCGAGGACUCUUCAUUGAAACAUACUUUCCUGAUGGUGCGAUGCAACAAAUAAAGGAGGAUUUCAAGAACUUUCGCCAAGAAAACCACACCAUGCAGGAGUACGAGCAAUAGUUCUCCUACACCGUGAGUUACAUCCCAUUUCUCAUAUGGGAUGAAGCAAAUAAGGCCUGAUGUUUCGAGUGUGGCCUACAAUCGGUGAUUUAUGCGAAAGUUCAACUGCUCAAUCUACAGACCUUCCGGAUGGUUGUGGACGGCGCCAAGUUGGUAGAGUAGAGCGAGACCAUGGUGCGCUAGGAGUGCAAGGCCCUCGAGAAAGGUAAGGAGAAGGAAAAGAAGCCCCAACAGUGUGAGCAACGGGAAGGGAAAUGCUACAAAUGUGGCAGGCUAAGCUACUUAGCCGUCGAUUACUACAGGGGCACAACACUGGCCCUAUCCGUAGCUUUAGUUCCAUCCACCCCGAGGAAGCCUGCGAGGAACCAUAUGCCGCUCCUUCGGUGGGCAUGCCUCUAUGUCGUGGGAGUAGGAGGGGACAUGAUAGGCACUGAGUGGGCUAGUAUUUGCCAUUCAGGUGGAGAAUGAGCCGGCAGCCGACGAUGUCAUGACAAGUAUAAUUUUAUUAAAUGAUGUAGGAUGUAGGGCAUUGUUCUACACUGGCGCAUCACAUUCAUUCUAAGCAGGACAUUUACUACUACUAGAAUUGACAUCAUAGUGGCCACUAGUACUAAACGGGUUUAAAUUUCGGACCACACAUUCUAUGUCAUUGAUUAUUGUCUAGUCUAUCCGAUAUGGAUAGAAGAUUGGAUUAUGCCAGUGAAUUUCUUGGUGUUGAGAUAAUUGGAGGGCUUUGAUAUUGUGCUAGGGAUGGACUCGUUCUCAAGGUGCUAUAAUACCAUUGAUUGUGAGAAUCGAGUCAUCACCUUUCAAGAAUUAAGGCAAAAUGAGUUUGUUUGUCGGAAUUGUAGAAGCUUGCCUUCUGCCAUAACAAUCUCCAUGUCGAGCCAAGAAGUUGAUCAAUGGUGGAUGCGUGGCCUACUCAGCUACUGUGCCGAACGAUCGAGCUGAGUCUCUAGCACUUAAGAGCAUCUCCAUAGUUCGAGAGUUUUCGGAUGCGUUUCCGAAGGAGCUACAAGGAAUGUCACCAGACUAGAAGAUCGAGUUCGUAAUAGACUUGGUUUUCGAGACUGUGUCGAUUUCAAAGUCGCCUUAAUUACUACAUGACAAUGGUGAAAUUAAGGGAGCUUAAGUCUUAAGUGCAAAAUCUAUUUGAGAAGCCAAUAGAUUUUAAUAAAAUUAAAAUCUCAAUUGUAUAAGUAUGCAAAAUCAACAGAUGAAAAUUAAAAUCUCACAACAACUGAUGAUAUAACACUAAAAUUUUAUAUGCAGAGAUAUUGAUUUAGCUGUGGAUAUAUAUUUUGAAUAUUUUUAUCAAAAUUACAUUUGAUUUGCAUACUUAUACGCAGUUAAACAUGUAAUACAUGCAAACGACACACAUCAACUAUUAAAAUUAUUAAUUUUACAACUUUUCAAUCGCUUGGUUAAUAACAUCGAAAAGUAAAUUUUAUUUUUAAAAUGCUUCAAAUAUUUUAGAUCAAGUCUAUAAGAGCUGAUCAUUUAUUUGGAAAUUCCAUCAUCAAAAAACAACUGAGUACGGAGACCUUCGUGCUAUAAACUCAUUUUUUGAUAUUCGGGCUUUCAUUUUGAUGAUCGAUACCAUUAAAUAUGAUUUAACUUUUUUUUGAGCUUAUGAAGUACUAAAUUUUAGAAUUUUUUUUUACAUCAUUUACUUUGUAAUCAAGUCCUCAAAAGUAAUAAUUCAACAACUCGAUCAUAUAAAGUAUUUUAUUGUUUAAUAAUAUAUAUACUAAUCGAAAUCGGUUGAAGUUUUGAAUGAAAAUUCUUUUAACUAUUUAAAACAAGAUUUUGCAAAUUUAAUUUUAAAUUUUAAAUGUUGUUCAAUUUUGAUUGUUGUCCAUUAUUGGGCGAGUUGAUGGACUAUAAAACAAUUUUCAAAAAUCCCCAAGAAUUAUUUGUAAAAAGAAUUCCCAAAAAUGCAAAGUAGUAAAUGCACAACAACUAGUUGUUAGAUAUGCUACUUAAGUAUGCAAACAGAACGGAUCUAGAGGGAGAGCCGACCAACUUUCUGCCUAGCUAACAUUGAAUUCACCCUACCUGAGUCCCGUCCUGCCUUGCCUCUGUGACGAGAUACUAUAUAUCUUAUAACCUGCCUCUUCUAAGAUUCCACCUUCCGCCGGUGUCCCUAAUUAGCCUUACAAACUAAAUUUUUUUCAUUUAAAUUUAGUUAAACAAAAUUUAAUAUUUAUAAUUUUAGUUAAAAAAAAUUUUAAAAAUAAUAAAAGUAUCAUAAAAGCAACUAUCUCUUAAAUUACAUUAAUUUUUAAAAAAUAAAGUUUUAAAAUUAAAUAAUAUUCAAAAAUUAAAAUUAUCUUAUAAUUCGUCGUCUCCCUCUCCAAAUCCAUUUCGCAUUAUAAAAAUCACUGUUUAAUGCCCCUAAUCUAUUCAUAGAUCUUCCAUUACUAUCCCAAUGGGACUAAUCGGGGCGAAAGCUCCACCGGCCGAAUCGAUUUGCAUCCUAAUUGUAUUUCUUGUGGACUUGGAUGUGAUUUUGAGAAUUUGAAAAAUAGUUCUUUUCAGGAGAACUUUUUUUGUUUAUCAAUCAUUUCUUUAGAGGUGGCACUAUUGUAGAGCUAUUCAAAAAAUAUAUAAUUGAAAAUUUUCAUUAGAGUCUUUUGUUAGAAAAUAAGAAUUUUAAGCCUUAUCUAUUUGAUAUUAGAGUUUAUUUGGUACACUUAUUUAGAUUCUGGAAUCGAAAUAGAUUUAACUGAUUCUGAUAGUUAUUAUCUGUUUUCAAGGAAUCGAAUUUCGAUUGUAGAAUAGAAAUGACUCACUCCAUUUAUGGCUCAAUCUAGCUUUGAAUUUUGGAUUGGUCCAUUCCAAAAAAAUCACUCACAGCUUUUUUUUUUUACAAACACAUCUCCCUCCUAUUUCUUCAGCGCUCUCCUCUCUCUUAGCCAAAAUCUUCUCUUAAAAUAAUAGUAGGUAUUCAGUCUGAUUUCCAUUCCAAUAGUGAACUAAGCACCUUUAGAUAAUUUGCCAUACCAUUUUCUAUUCCAAAAUAAUCUAAUUUCAUUUUUCAUUAUCAUCCCAAUGAACCAAAGAUACUCUUAUUGUCGGUUUUAAAAUUUUUUACAUAAAAUUUUGGCUAAAUUACAGAAAACCUACAUGUAAAUACCCCUUUUUUCACCUUUUCUCAUUGACUUUUAAAAAACCUAUAUUUUACCCCCUUAAAAUUUCAAGUUGUUGCAUUUAGCCCCCCUCCGUCAAGGUUCCAUCACUAAUCCGUCCUUUUUUAUAAUUUAUACAGAAAAUAUCCUUCAAACUGACGGAAAUAUAUUAAGGCUUACUUUGGUAUUAAGGCCUAUCUAAUGCUAUUAGAUAAAAUGGAGUUCCGACAAAAGCAUAGAGAGAUAUGUUUCUGCGUUCUUCGGUGGGACUACAGAAAAUAUAUCGUAAACGCAAUAUUAUGUACAGAAACAAAUAUGGUAUUUUCGCAUCAUACUUUUUCACCGGACGUAACGCAAUCUCCCCGCAAUCUCAAACAAAGCCUAAAAAAUUAGUUCUUUUCUUAUAGAAGAAGUAAGGGCAAUUUGUGUAAGUUAUGAAUUCCCAAAGAUCUAAAAGGUAAAAUAACACUUAGAGGAGGGUGAAUAGGUGUAAACGACAAAACAACAAAUCUCGAUGCAAAUUAAAAAUAAGUGCGGAAAAUUAAAACCAACAUACCAAGAUUUUUACAUGGAAAAACUCCAACUCGAAGAAAAAAAUUCACGAGACCGAUCACACGAAAUAAUCCACUAUAAAAAGAUGAGUAUAAGAUAAUUUACCGAAUUCAUGACCCAACUUUUACCGAAUUCUCGUUGUAGAUCGUCUUCGUCGGUCCUCAAUCGAUUGAAUUUCUCCAACUGACCACGCUGCGACUCCUCGCAGCAGCAACACCUCGAAUCCACGAGCGUCCACCGAAUACUCGGCCUCACGCGAAGCCCUCGCGCAAACACUCUGUCUGGAGCCCGUAGAAAGAAUAAUUGGUGGUGAUUUGAACACUUGGAAAAUCAUAAGAUAUGAGGAAAACCCUUUUUAAUUCAUCAUCAACUCGAUUCUCAAAGAAACAUUAGAAUAAAAGCCUAAAAAUUAAGUCGACGAUUGAAAGAGCGAAACUUGCUUCAAGACAUUAAUCGAAAAGCACCAAAAAUAAGUUUCUAGUAUUUCUUAAUGAUCUUAUUUCUAAGCAUAUGAUUUACAAGGCUCCCUUUAACUUAUUUAUAGGUUUAGAAGAUAUAGAUGUCGGAUCUUUGGCGCUAACCAUUAAUCCCAAAAGCUCGAGCUGUUAGAAAUAUGCAACCAAUUCACUUAAAGCGUACAGAAACAGCGCCCACGGGUCUCGAUUGUGACUCGGCCCACCUGGCCUCACGCCACUUCGAACAUGACUCGGCUCAACCCAGCCUCACGCCUUUUCGAACAUGACUCGGCCCACAUAGCCUCCCGCCACAGGGCAGGAUGCUAGCCCAUUUAAGCCAACAAUAGAGACAUAUUAGGAUUGAAAAAUCAAUUUCUAAAAAUAGAGGAUGGGCUCAAGGUCCGGACCUUACUCUAGGGUCCGGACCUUGAAGGUCCAGAUCUUGACUGUAGGGUCCGGACCCUCCUCGCGUAACAUUAAAACCCAGCGCACGGGGUCCGGACCCUAGACCUGAAGGUCUGGACCCUCCGCUGCGUAAAUGCAAGGAAGACCCACGGGGUCCCGGCCUUAAUUCCAGGGUCCGGAUCUUCCCUUCGAAUUUUUCAGGAUACUCUCGGGAUUCGGAUCUUCGAACCAGGGUUCGGAUUCUGAACCCUAAAAAACUCUGUUUUUCAGCUUUCAACAUUUACAAAUCAUUUCUAAGUCUCCCAAACACUUAUAAACGUGCGAAAAUCGCCACAAAUUAUAAACGCACAUACUUGAGAUAGAUGAGCAUCACGGACGAGUCUAUUCACCAUGAAUCUUGAGAUCAUCGUCUUCAACCCUUCAAGACUCCACACGACUUCACGAAAUUGGCUAACCUACAAAAUCCUUAACAAUUUAGUCAUCUUGCCCUCUCCAUUAACACCGUACCUCCAUGAAAACACUUCUGAAAUUUUAAGAGGGCAAAAUGUAGAUUUUUGAAAGUAAUGAAGGGAAAGUAAAAAGGCGGAUAUUUAUAGGGGGUUUUCUGUAAUUUAGCAUAAAAUUUUUAUACAAGGGUUAAUUGCCUAUAUACCCCUCAAAACUUUAGAAAUAUCUCAUCGACCUCUACUUUUUUUUUUCUUUCCAAUAUACCCCUCAUAUGUUCCUCCGUUAUUCCAAAAUACCCCUACAGUUACAACCCGUUAAGUUAACUUGGGUUAAACGUGAGUUAAAUAUUUACUAGAGUUAAAAAAAAUUCAAAAUGUCUCUUUUGCCCUUAAUUUAAGGACAAAUAAGAAAUAUUGGUGAUGGUAGAAGGGUAUAUUUGAAAGACCAAAAAUCAAAAUAUUUUUUGUAUCCCUAAUUUAAGGGCAAGUAAGAAAAGCCGGUGAUGGUGAAAGGGUAUAUUUGAAAUAGCAAAAUAGUAAUUCAUACAAAUAACAAUUAUUGCUAACAGUUCAUUAACGGAAUUUAACUUUAGGGAUGUAUUUGAAGUAGUUGGAAUGUAAAAAGUGUAUUUUUAAUAUUAACCUUUUAAACGGGAUAAAUCAGAAAGUCGGAAACUUCUCAAGGAUUUGCUCCUUUUUUAUAUAAAGUAGUGUAGAAGUGGACAGUGAAUACUUCGUAGUUUUUAUAUUUAAAAUAUUUU